rnacentral:ncRNA from 1 species
AUCUGAUAUUCAUUUCGUUCCUCUCAUAAAUUCAGAUCAAGGAGAGCACAAUAUAAUAUUUGUGCUGCUAGGAGAAGUGGUUGAGUCGUGCACCCUAGAUGGUGAGAGUCCCAUAUCCAAAAGAAUCAUUGGAUUAUGCUCUAACCUGAGUAGCACGGGGAACGUUGAAUCCCAUGUGAUUCAACAAGGACCACCUUGAAAGGAU